AUGGGAUGGGAAAGAGCCCGAGGCGCCCGCGGGCCGGCGUGGCUGGGGCGGUGGGGGGCUCGGCGUGGGUUGCCCGGCGCCUUCGCUCCCGGGCCCCGGGGCACAUCCCCACGGGUGCCUUCCCAGCCCGGUGCCCGCUUCCCUUCCCCGCUGGUGCCGCCGGUUCCGCGCCCGGCUGGAGCUCCGUCCGCCAGCCCCCGGCUGGAGCUCCGUCCGCCAGCCCCCGGCUGGGUCAGAGGCGGCCAGACCACCUCGUGGGUAGGACUUGUCUGCCCCGCGGGUCUGUAGUGCUGUUCAGCUGGUGUGAGCGAGAUGGGGUGCAGUGCUUUUUUUGUCUCGUGUCUGGACUGUCUUGUAGUAGUCUGUAGCAGGAAUUCAUGAGAAGUCAGCUAAACCUGAGCAGGGAUGAGGUGUGAAGUGAGCAUCGCUGAAAAAGGAGCAGCACCUAGGAAAGACAGCACAAGGACCCAGUGCUGGGACUCUUCAUCCCGACAAUCUGCAGUGGGGAAGGGAUAAUGAUGCUCUCAGAGUCCUGGUGCUUUGAGCAGAAGGUGCAGGAGAAAGAUGGCAUGGAAAGAGAAAGAAAUCACAAUCUCCCUUGGAGCAACUUCUCCAUGAUGAAAAAAGAUAUGAUGGUGGUGAGUUAUAACCUGGUGAGGUGUGCAGGAGGGUUGAUAUGUGCACUUUGUAGCUUGUGCUGCUGCACUUCCAGUAGGCAGCUGGGAUAGUUUGAUGGACUGUUUGUGCACACAGAGAUCUGCAUUGCUCUGUCUUUGCUGGCAAGUGGGUGCUAAAUGAAAAGUUGUCCUGGACAUGCUUACUCAUAUUUGAGGAACAUCUUAUUUGCAAUGUAGAUACCUCCCACUACCUGGAACAAUUUGCUCUCCUUCCACAUUGCUUAUCUCCAGGAACAUGCUGGUACUGAAUGACUUCUGCUUGGAGGGUGUAUCUCCUGUGAUUGGUAUAACUUGUUAAGUAAGUAAUGUAUAGUAGCCAUUAAGGCUCAUUUUAGAAUCCCAGUGGAACAGCGUUUUUUCUUUAUGGCUUGCAUUUAGUCAGUGACAGCUUCAUACAUGGAAGAACUUCUUCCCCUUCAACUGUGACUUGUUCUGGUGUAUUUGCAGAUCCACUGUGAGGUGCUGGUGUGGAUUGUUGAGAAGUCCAUGAGCACUGUGAAAAAGUACAUGUCAAAACAAACAUGUUGCUCUUUUACCCUGAGACAGUCAAUGCUGUCUCUAUUUUAUAGUGGAAGAACCAGUGGGCUCUUUGGGAGGGAGUAAAUCCAGAGACUAGCUUUUUGUCUGCAGUCUGGGAGAACCUGCACUGUGAUUUGAACAUUCACCUGCUGCUUGUGUUUCACCUCAUUAUGCCUGGUCAUGUGUGUUCUUGCCACACUUUUUGGUCCACACUCUUCUCAUGGGUUAGCAGCUGUCUGCCAAGAGCAGGUUGGGGAGAACCCUCCAAGGAGCUGUCUGACAAGGAGAUGUAACUAUGUCUGACAAAGGCAAAAACUAGCGAUCGCUGUGUACUAACACUUUUGCUUGAUGUUUAUUUCUAGCAAGAGCACAGUCAGAGCUUUCCCAAGGACUCCUUUGGUGCUGUGUGAAAAGUCUUCCAGGUUGUUGGCAGAAGUGCAUUUCUCUUCAUCAAUGAUAGAUAUAAAUGAGAAGUGCUGCUAUUGAUUGUCACGCAAAACUCUUGAGAAAAAGCUUUGCUCAGUGUUUGUGACUGCCAGUGAAGUCUGUUCUUUAGCUGCUUACUGGAGAGGGAAGUUCUGGUAGCCUGGCUCAGUCAGCAGACUUUCAAUUCAAGGACCAGUGCAGGCAGUCCGAUUCCUUGUGUUUGAACAUUAUGUAUGCAGGAUGUGGAUCGAAAAGCAUUGAGAGCAACCAGUGAAUCAUAAGGUGCUGUAUGCUGUGAUGUGUACCUGCUGUGAACAUGUUCCAGGAAAAAGAAAAUGCUGAAGUUCAUGUUGAUGGUGCUGAGAUCCUUUUGUCUGUUGAGCUUUCUGCACAAGGGAGUCGCUUUCUUAGAAAAUAGAUAGCUAUGCAGAAGGGCAAGGAAAAAUGGAGUACUUGAACCUGCUGAUGGCCUAUGUGAGAAACACAUCAAAAGCUACCACUGUGAUCCCUCUAAAUAAUAAAUAAAAGGUUGAAUAAAAGGCUUUUCAGUGCA